CCUACGGGUGGCAGCAGUGAGGAAUCUUCCACAAUGGACGAAAGUCUGAUGGAGCGACACCGCGUGUAGGAUGAAUGUCUAACGAUUGUAAACUUCUUUUCUGAGGGAGCAUAAUGAGAGUACCUCAGGAAUAAGGGACGGCUAAUUACGUGCCAGCAGCCGCGGUAAUACGUAAGUCCCAAGCGUUACCCGGAAUCACUGGGUGUAAAGGGUUCGUAGGCGGCGAAGUAAGUUGGAUAUUAAAGACCGGAGCUCAACUCCGUGUACGUGUUCAAAACUGCUUUGCUAGAAUUAGGGAGAGGUAAGCGGAAUUCUGAGUGUAGGGGUGCAAUCCGUAGAUACUCAGAGGAACACCAAAAGCGAAGGCAGCUUACUGGAACUAUAUUGACGCUGAGGAACGAAAGCGUGGGUAGCGAAAAGGAUUAGAUACCCCUGUAGUC
rnacentral:rRNA from 1 species